GGUAUUCCCUUCCUUCGCGUACGGCUUGGCCGCCAACGCCUAGCCACCGGAACACUCUCGCCACUUCGGCACCCGUGGAGCUCUACGGCAGACCCAACUAAGGUGGACGAGGAAGUAUCCACUGCCGGAACGGAAAGACUACGGCAGUGAGCGCGCGGGACCCGCCCAAGUACCCCAGGUGGGAUGAUCCUGAUUACCGGAAGUGGAAAGACAAGGAAGAAGAGAUUCUGAGAGAUAUAGAGGCCAUUGUUACCCUCACCAAAGAAAUUCUCCACUCUGACAGGUAUUUGGAUGGAGAACAUCUAACAGCUGAAGAUGAGAAAGCUGUGGUAGAAAACCUUCUCACUUACCAUCCAAAUUCUGAAGAUAAAAUUGGAUGUGGGCUUGACUCAAUAAUGGUUGAUCGCCACCCCCAGUUUAGACAUUCAAGAUGCCUUUUUGUUGUGAGAACUGACGGUGGAUGGAUAGACUUUUCCUAUCAUAAGUGCCUGCGGGCAUAUAUUCGAGAUAAGUAUCCACUGCAUGCAGAAAGAUUUAUUCGAGAACAUUUUAAGCGUGGCAGUUAAUGAUGUGUAUUAAUGCUGAUGCCUACAUUUGAACUCAGUUACAAUUUUGGCAUUGGUAGCGAUGAUUGUGAUACAAAUAUUUUAAAUAUAUGUUUGGUAUUUUAUUAAUUCUCAAUUAUCAAUUAUAUCAUAAUAAUAGUCUUUAAUAAU
rnacentral:misc_RNA from 1 species